rnacentral:rRNA from 1 species
GACGAACGCUGGCGGCGUGCCUAAUACAUGCAAGUUGAGCGCUGAAGGUUGGUACUUGUACCAACUGGAUGAGCAGCGAACGGGUGAGUAACGCGUGGGGAAUCUGCCUUUGAGCGGGGGACAACAUUUGGAAACGAAUGCUAAUACCGCAUAAAAACUUUAAACACAAGUUUUAAGUUUGAAAGAUGCAAUUGCAUCACUCAAAGAUGAUCCCGCGUUGUAUUAGCUAGUUGGUGAGGUAAAGGCUCACCAAGGCGAUGAUACAUAGCCGACCUGAGAGGGGGAUCGGCCAAAUUGGGACGGAGACACGGCCCAAACUCCUACGGGAGGCAGCAGUAGGGAAUCUUCGGCAAGGGACGAAAGUCUGACCGAGCAACGCCGCGUGAGUGAAGAAGGUUUUCGGAUCGUAAAACUCUGUUGGUAGAGAAGAACGUUGGUGAGAGUGGAAAGCUCAUCAAGUGACGGUAACUACCCAGAAAGGGACGGCUAACUACGUG